AGGGGGGGUCGACAUCGGAGAACCUUUCCAACCACUUAUAUCGCCGGGGAGGGAACAUAUCAAAAGCGGAACGAGGAGCAGGAUGCCUAAGACGGGGGGUUAUUGGUGUUGGGUUUUAGGGUUUUAGGUUUUAGGGUUGGCUUGUUCUGUUUCUUUGAAGUUUUAGUUGGGAUUUCUCAAUCGAACGGAGUGCUCCAUAGCCAACUGCCAACAUGCUAAACCCAAACCCAAACCCAAACCCAAACCCCCCAGCAGCCCCCCCACCCCAC
rnacentral:lncRNA from 1 species